rnacentral:lncRNA from 1 species
UUGGUGUCUUCAUCAAAACCUUGCCAAUGUUAGGAGCAAAGAUCUUCUUCACACUUUGCACACAAUAGUGACAAUCACUGUCAGUUCUCUAAAUGUCAAUAUGACUACCUGUGCUAAUUAUUUUCUCUCAAUACUGAUUAUGAGUGUCAUUUUCGAAAUGCCCAUAAUAUGGCUACAUUUGCCAAUUAUUUUCCUUCAAUACUGACUACGAGUCUCAAUUCUUAAAAUUCCCACAAUAUGGCUACCUGGCCAAUUCUCAAGUGCUAUGAAAAGAAAGGGGAGAAGUUUGCCGGAAAUGCAUCGGUGAAAAUAUAUGAGGGAGAAAGAAAAAGUUAAAUGAAAACAUA